rnacentral:rRNA from 1 species
UACGUAGGGGGCAAGCGUUGUCCGGAUUUAUUGGGCGUAAAGGGCGCGUAGGCGGUCGUGACAAGUCACUUGUGAAAUCUCCGGGCUUAACUCGGAACGGUCAAGUGAUACUGUCGGACUAGAGUACAGAAGGGGCAACUGGAAUUCUCGGUGUAGCGGUGAAAUGCGUAGAUAUCGAGAGGAACACCUGCGGCGAAGGCGGGUUGCUGGGCUGAUACUGACGCUGAGGCGCGAAAGCCAGGGGAGCGAACGGG